AUAUCAAUAUUAUAAAAUAAUAGACUCUUUUUAUGACAGAAGUAAGGGGUAACACUUAGGUUAAAUUAACCAAAAGCUGCUAAUGGCGCAAGAAAUACUAAUUAUAAAAACUAAAUAUAAUAAUCUUUUAUACAUUUUCUACAGAGAAAAUAAUUAAAAGAGCGAUUCAGAAAUCAAUCCCCAAAAACAACGUCAUCCAGUGCUCAAUAAGACUAAAAUCUAUCUACUAAACGAAAAUCCCAUUGUUUUCUUGUAUAUUUUUGGUGUACGUCUACACAUACAUAUUAUUGUAUUACAGAUAAUAAGCGGCGCGUCAGCCGAAGCGCCCUGCGCGCUCCACUGUCCACCGAACGACCUUUGUCACAACGCGACGUGUUGCGGGCCCAACCAACAGGAGCAAAGCACGCCUUCUCCCACAGUAACGCCGUACCUCUGCAGACAACGGACCAUGGGAUCUAGGACUGAGUCAAUGUGUUCCACGAACGGCGCCGGUGCACCCCGGCAAGCCACAACGUGGAACCUAGAAGCUUUAGAGUGCGGUUCCCUGCUCCCGUCGCCUAUGCUGGACAGUCGGCUCGCGGUCUGACGCUCGGGCCCGACUAUGGACUAACCCCGUCACUUUCACUACACAUUAGCUGUGAAAUUUAGUUCCAUUCAUAUUUAUAAUCAUCUACCAAAGUAACUGUGCUCAUUUUUCCACACCGACCGAUAAUAAAACUAUCUGUCUCGUUUUUUCAUCAGGUAAUCAGAAAAAGACAACACUAUUUUAAUCAUGUCUUUGUCAAAAGAAUAUUGCAAAUGUGAAAUUAUAGUUAUCUCUGUCCAAUGUUUGUUUUAAGUUAUGUGUAAAAGAGACAGAUAGUUUUUAUGUUGGUGUAACAAACACGGCACUAUUACAAAAUACGAAUUUCUAAUGUGUCAUCUAAUGUAAACGAAUCAUAUAAAAUUGCUGCUGUUGUAACUAAAAUUCUAUAAAUCUCGCUACAUUACCUAGGCUACGUAUAUCUUCAUUCAUUAGUAUUAUUCACAUUAUUAAAUUAAGUACUUACCAUUAACUAAAUUGUCAAAAAAUGCAUAAAAUUAUAACUCGUAUUAUAAAU